rnacentral:misc_RNA from 1 species
GAUGAAGAACGUAGCGAAAUGCGAUAAGUAAUGCGAAUUGCAGAAUUUCCGUGAGUCAUCGAAUCUUUGAACGCACAUUGCGCCCAUUAGUAUUCUAGUGGGCAUGCCUGUUCGAGCGUCAUUUCAACCCUCAAGCUCUCUUGCUUGGUGUUGGGGCUUCUGCGGCUUCGGCCGCAGGCCCUGAAAAACAGUGGCGGGCUCGCUAUAACUCCGAGCGUAGUAAUCUCUCUCGCUUUGGAAGUGUGGCGGUUCCCGGCCGUUAAACCCCCCAAUUUCUGAAUGUUGACCUCGGAUCAGGUAGGAAUACCCGCUGAACUUAAGCAUAUCAAUAAGCGGAGGA